rnacentral:misc_RNA from 1 species
UAAUUUCACAGUCCAGUCCCCAUUGCCAUGUAUAGCUUCUUCAAUUUCCAAAGCUGAUUGUAUCAUUUCCUCAUCUUCUUUACUGGCCUCGCGGAAUGAAAUCUCUCUCCAGAAAUGAUCACUCCCCAACUCUUCAGCCACUUGUUUAGCUUGAGCUUCUAGCUUGGGAUAGUCUGGAUGACAAAGAAGAGAAAUAUGUGCUCCACCAAUUCGACGGAGCUGUUCUUCUACUUGUACAGCAUGCUGGAGACAGAAUACAUGUAUUCUGAAAGAGUCUUCAUCAGAUGUUGAAGUAAAUUGCAUACGUGCAUUAUCAAAUGGAGCAACAGCAUUGUUUUGUGCUAUUUCCCUUAUAUUGGAAAUACACUUUGCAGGGACUUGAUGGGACCUUGGUUGAUG